GAUGAAGAACGCAGCGAAAUGCGAUAAGUAAUGCGAAUUGCAGAAUUCCAGUGAGUCAUCGAAUCUUUGAACGCACAUUGCGCCCUUUGGUAUUCCGAAGGGCAUGCCUGUUCGAGCGUCAUUAUCACCCCUCAAGCCCUCGGCUUGGUGUUGGACGGUUUGGUGGAGGCCCCCUCGGGGGUUCCUGCCCCUCCCAAAGACAAUGACGGCGGCCUCGUUGGACCCCCGGUACACUGAGUUCUUCACGGGACACGUAUCGGACACAUGGGUUUACGGGACACGGUCUGCCUCCCCUCAGGGAGAAUCUUUCUAAGGUUGACCUCGGAUCAGGUAGGGAUACCCGCUGAACUUAAGCAUAUCAAUAAGGGAGGA
rnacentral:misc_RNA from 1 species